AAACUCAAAGGAAUUGACGGGGACCCGCACAAGCGGUGGAUGAUGUGGUUUAAUUCGAUGCAACGCGAAAAACCUUACCCACCUUUGACAUGUACGGAAUCCUUUAGAGAUAGAGGAGUGCUCGAAAGAGAGCCGUAACACAGGUGCUGCAUGGCUGUCGUCAGCUCGUGUCGUGAGAUGUUGGGUUAAGUCCCGCAACGAGCGCAACCCUUGUCAUUAGUUGCUACAUUCAGUUGGGCACUCUAAUGAGACUGCCGGUGACAAACCGGAGGAAGGUGGGGAUGACGUCAAGUCCUCAUGGCCCUUAUAGGUGGGGCUACACACGUCAUACAAUGGCUGGUACAGAGGGUUGCCAACCCGCGAGGGGGAGCCAAUCCCAUAAAGCCAGUCGUAGUCCGGAUCGCAGUCUGCAACUCGACUGCGUGAAGUCGGAAUCGCUAGUAAUCGCGGAUCAGAAUGUCGCGGUGAAUACGUUCCCGGGUCUUGUACACACCGCCCGUCACACCAUGGGAGCGGGUUCUGCCAGAAGUAGUUAGCCUAACCGCAAGGAGGGCGAUUACCACGGCAGGGUUCGUGACUGGGGUGAAGUCGUAACAAGGUAACC
rnacentral:rRNA from 1 species